rnacentral:pre_miRNA from 1 species
UCAAUACUCCCUUCGUCCGAAAAUACUUGUCAUUAAAAUAGAUAAAAAAAGAUGUAUCUAAAACUAAAAUACAUCUAAAUAUAUCCCCUUUUAUACAUUUUGAUAACGAGUAUUUUCGGAUGGAGGGAGUACAUC